rnacentral:rRNA from 1 species
UAAUACGUAGGGGGCUAGCGUUGUCCGGAUUUACUGGGCGUAAAGGGCGCGUAGGCGGCCCGCUAAGUCGAACGUGAAAUCCCCAGGCUCAACCUGGGAACUGCGUCCGAUACUGGCAGGCUUGAAUCCGGGAGAGGGAUGUGGAAUUCCAGGUGUAGCGGUGAAAUGCGUAGAUAUCUGGAGGAACACCGGUGGCGAAGGCGGCAUCCUGGACCGGUAUUGACGCUGAGGCGCGAAAGCUAGGGUAGCAAACGGGA